rnacentral:lncRNA from 1 species
CUCAAUUCCAUACAGAGGGGUGGUCUCCUCUCUCAGGUAUAAACUAAAGGUACCAAUUUGGAAGUAAUUGUAUACCGAGUACUUAACACCAUGAGAUGGGAUGAGACCACCAAAUCAAAAAUAGAAAAGAGAAGAGCCACAAGGGCUGGUUUCUAUGGCACACUCACUAAAAGCUCAGAAAUAUGAGGAGGAACGAGGAAAGUUCAAGGACACAAGGAAGAAUAAGCAAAAGUAACUAAGAGGGAGUGAGCAGAGAAGCAAGAGAAAAAGCAAGAAUAUCACAGCGACCAAACAAGAGACAAAAAGAAAGAGAAGGUGGUCAGUUGAGUCAGGAAUGAUCCAAAUAGAGAAAAAUCUUAUGACGGACAGAGAGAAAUGCUGAAUCAAGGCCCUUCAGUCAGUGAGAGGAUGAGAUCUGGUACACAACUAGAGAGACUUCAUUCUCAGAAAUGUGACUUUCAUUCACAAUCAGCCAAAUACUUGAGAAAGUUCAAGCUGCAGUUGGCUGGAGAUCCUGAAUGAAAGAACUUUUGAUUCAGUACCAGAGAUCGAACUCAGGACCUUGUGCUUGCGAGGCAGGCGGCGGCACCACUGAGCUAAAUCCCCAGCCCUGGGGCCAAGGCUUCUUGAAAGGGAGACUUGUUCAUUGUGUUUGAUGACACUGCUGUGCAUGUAGCAUGAGAAGAACAGAGGGAUUCCUGUCUUCCAAGAAUCUACUAAUCUUUGCCUAAACCAAGCCAUACCACUGCAGUCACUUCUCUCCCUGCUGUUUCGUUCUCCGACAUCUCUGUCCUCAAACAGUCCACAGUAGUGCAUCUCCUCAGACUGGCUCAGUGCAUUUGAAUUGGUGAUACAUUAACUGACCUCCAGUUUCACCUCAAGAAGUUUUUGGAGAAGAGUUCACAGAUACCUCA